rnacentral:rRNA from 1 species
GUGACAAACCGGAGGAAGGUGGGGAUGACGUCAAGUCAUCAUGGCCCUUACGGCCUGGGCUACACACGUGCUACAAUGGUCGGUACAGAGGGUUGCCAAGCCGCGAGGUGGAGCUAAUCCCACAAAACCGAUCGUAGUCCGGAUCGCAGUCUGCAACUCGACUGCGUGAAGUCGGAAUCGCUAGUAAUCGCGAAUCAGAAUGUCGCGGUGAAUACGUUCCCGGGCCUUGUACACACCGCCCGUCACACCAUGGGAGUGGG